rnacentral:lncRNA from 1 species
ACUGGAGCAUUUGGAGGGACAUAUUUGUGAGGGCAAAAAUGUCAUUUCACGAAUCCACUGUUAAAAAAUAAACAGUUCACUAACAGAUUUUAACCAGAGGGACAUAUCUGCAUACAUUAGGACUUUUGCAGGGACAACUUAUGAAAAUUAAGUUUUACAGAGAUAUAUCUGUAAUUCACUAUGUUUGUAGGGACGUGUACGCAAUUAACCCUUUUUUU